CCUACGGUCAGCUGCAGUGGGGAAUAUUGGACAAUGGGCGAAAGCCUGAUCCAGCCAUGCCGCGUGUGUGAAGAAGGCCUUCGGGUUGUAAAGCACUUUCAGUGGGGAAGAAAGCCUUGGGGCUAAUACCCUCGAGGAAGGACAUCACCCACAGAAGAAGCACCGGCUAACUCCGUGCCAGCAGCCGCGGUAAUACGGAGGGUGCGAGCGUUAAUCGGAAUUACUGGGCGUAAAGCGCGCGUAGGCGGUCUGAUAAGCCGGUUGUGAAAGCCCCGGGCUCAACCUGGGAACGGCAUCCGGAACUGUCAGGCUAGAGUGCAGGAGAGGAAGGUAGAAUUCCCGGUGUAGCGGUGAAAUGCGUAGAGAUCGGGAGGAAUACCAGUGGCGAAGGCGGCCUUCUGGACUGACACUGACGCUGAGGUGCGAAAGCGUGGGUAGCAAACAGGAUUAGAUACCCUAGUAGUC
rnacentral:rRNA from 1 species